GGCAGUUCAGGGGGUAUUCUGGUUGCCUUACCCAGCUCUGAAGUCUGUCAGCCUCUUCAGAUGUCACUUGCCCUGUGGUAAGGAAGUGUAGUUGGCAGCUGGUGCAGUGGCAAGAAGAGAAAGGAAGUUCCCCAAGACAGAAACAUCUCAGCAGACUCCAUCAUGAAUUCAUGGCACCACACAGUCCCCUGAUGCUAUAACAUCAUGGAUUUCUUUUGUCCAGUGAGAGGCCCAAAAGCUGCAGCACAGACAAUAUCAUAGUGUAGAAGUUUAACUAGACCGUGAUCAUGGGCUACAUUCUCCAUACCAGCUUCAUAGCUCCAGUGAGAAAAUAAAUUCCUGCACCCAGGAGACGUGGAGUAAGAGAUACAGCUGCCCUUGACCAUAUUUCUUACUUCCGAGAAGAUUGUAGCAGUAAUUCAGGUGAGGUUCACGGGCACCAUCGCAGGCUCUACCUGACACAGCAAGUAUUCUCCAGUCUGCAGAUUUCUCAGUCUUCACUUAUUUUUUGUGAACUUGACUUUUUUGAAAAGUACAGAAUCUCAUCCAGGAUACCUCAUCACAGGCUGGAGUGCAGUGUCAUGAGCUUGGCUCACUACAGCCUCCAUCUUCUGUGCUUAAGGAUCCUUCCCUCUCAGCCUCCAGGGUAGCUGAGACUGCAGACUCUAUCAGGAAUCACUUGGGACUGUGCAUUCUGUUGACACUCACUUUGUGGAAUUAAGUUGCCCACUGCCAACCCUAAAGCCACCAAGGUAGCAGAUGAGGUCUUGUUCUUUUGGCCAGGCUGGAGUGCAGUGGUACAGUCGUGACUCACUGCAGCUUCAAACACCUGGGUUCCAGCAUUCAUCCCACUUCAGCCUCCCGUGUAGCCGGGACUACAGGUAUGAAAUAAUUUCCUAUUGAAGUCAUCUUAACAUGGAACCAGAAUUAAAUCCUAACAACAAUCAUGUGAGCCUGGGGAGGAUCCUUCCCCACGUGAGCCUUCAGGGGAGACUUCAGCCUUGGCCAUCUUCUACAUCUAGAUUCCUGACCAAGAGAAGCUGUUUAGAAUAGUUCACCAGUGAAGUCAUCUCAACCAGCACAGGGCCUUGACUCCUAACAACAAUCACACGAACUUGGAAGAGGAGCCUUCCCCAACUGAACCUUCGCUUGAGACCUCGUCCUUGGCCAUCCUCUACAUCUGGAUUCAUGAUACAGAGAAACUGUUUCAAAUAAUUCAUCAGUGAAUUCUUCUCAACCUGGUCAAUCAUGUGAACUUAGAAGAUGAUUCCUCCCCAGCUGAUCCUCAGGUGAGACAUCAGCCUUGGCCAUCAUCUACAUCUGGAUUCCUGACCCAGAGAAACUGGAACACUAAGACCCAUUCUUCUUCUCAAGUAUCCAAAAAUAAA
rnacentral:lncRNA from 1 species